GUGGGGAAUAUUGGGCAAUGGGCGAAAGCCUGACCCAGCAACGCCGCGUGAAGGUAGAAGGUUUUCGGAUCGUAAACUUCUAUCCUUGGUGAAGAUAAUGACGGUAGCCAAGAAGGAAGCCCCGGCUAACUACGUGCCAGCAGCCGCGGUAAUACGUAGGGGGCAAGCGUUGUCCGGAAUGAUUGGGCGUAAAGGGCGCGUAGGCGGCCCGGUAAGUCUGAAGUGAAAGUCCUGCUUUUAAGGUGGGAAUUGCUUUGGAUACUGUCGGGCUUGAGUGCAGGAGAGGUAAGCGGAAUUCCCGGUGUAGCGGUGAAAUGCGUAGAGAUCGGGAGGAACACCAGUGGCGAAGGCGGCUUACUGGACUGUAACUGACGCUGAGGCGCGAAAGUGUGGGGAGCAAACAGGAUUAGAAACCCCGGUAGUCC
rnacentral:rRNA from 1 species